CUCUGGGCAGCUACAAAAAGCAGGUCCCUGAAAGGAUAGGGGCUUUUUACCCAUGGUUUCCUGCUGGUUCUUCAUGGCCAUGCUGGCCCAUAUGGCAUUGGCUCUGGAACAGUCCCCAGACACAGUGAUAGAACAAGGCCAGUCCACGAAUCUGAGCUGUUCCAAGAAGAAAUCCACCAGCACAGCUAUGCACUGGUACAGGCUGCCUUUGGGGAAGGACUCCAGACUGGUCCUAAUAGCUUCUGCAGUACAAGCUGGUAAAGCAACCGUUGAGGUGGAUCUCCGAAGUCAUUUCAAGUGCAGUGAGAUACAAGGAGACAAAAUUACCCUCUUGAUAGACCAUGCCUUCCUCAAUGACUCUGGCAUGUAUUACUGCGCUGAGAGUGAAACACAGUAG